UAAGGAAUAUUGCUCAAUGGGAGAAAUCCUGAAGCAGCAACGCCGCGUGGAGGAUGAAGGGUCUAUGACUUGUAAACUCCUGUAAAGAAGGAAAAAAUUCCCAUUUGAUGGGAGAUGAUGGUACUUCUGGAGUAAGCCCCGGCUAACUACGUGCCAGCAGCCGCGGUAAUACGUAGGGGGCAAGCGUUGUCCGGAUUUACUGGGUGUAAAGGGUGCUCAGGCGGAUUUGUAAGUCAGAGGUGAAAUCUUACAGCUUAACUGUGAAACUGCCUUUGAUACUGCAAGCCUAGAGUAUGGAAGAGAGUGAUGGAAUAUCUGGUGUAGCAGUGAAAUGCGUAGAUAUCAGAUAGAGCACCAAUGGCGAAGGCAGUCACUUGGUCCAUUACUGACGCUAAAGCACGAAAGCGUGGGGAUCAAACA
rnacentral:rRNA from 1 species